rnacentral:rRNA from 1 species
GUCCACGCCCUAAACGAUGUCAACUAGGUGUUGGGUGGGUAAAACCAUUUAGUACCGGAGCUAACGCGUGAAGUUGACCGCCUGGGGAGUACGGCCGCAAGGUUAAAACUCAAAGGAAUUGACGGGGACCCGCACAAGCGGUGGAUGAUGUGGAUUAAUUCGAUGCAACGCGAAAAACCUUACCUACCCUUGACAUGUCCAGAAGCUCGAAGAGAUUUGAGUGUGCCCGAAAGGGAGCUGGAACACAGGUGCUGCAUGGCUGUCGU